ACAAAAAAAAGCCCGCACAUUCAUUGCGGGCAGCCCUUAUAGCUUGUAUCCGGUACAAACGAAGGGCAAUGGGAGAGGAGAAACCGGAGGAAGACUUAUGGGGAUGUAAGUCUUCUCCGCGG
rfam:Fictibacillus macauensis ZFHKF-1 Contig28, whole genome shotgun sequence.